rnacentral:tRNA from 1 species
GGUCUUAUAUUCAUAUUUUGUAUGAUAAUAGAAUGCAAUUCUAUAGGAGUAAACAAUUACUAAGACUU